rnacentral:other from 1 species
GUCCUGAUGUGUUUGUCGUAUAACCUAUUGUUUUGACCGAACAAUAGAUUAUACGGGAGCCCGGAGUUUUCAAUUUGCGUAAAUGCCCCAUUCAUUGCAUUAGGGGACUUACAAAGGUUGAAACAGGGUACCCACCUGCGGUGAGCGGGUUCAAAACUAAGGCAUCGACGACACGAUUGGGACU